GCUUUUGAUAUGCUUGCUGGCGACAUUUAUGUGACUUUGUUCUGUAAAAGGGAAGACGGUGCAAUUCCGUCGCGGACCCGCCGCUGUUACCGGGAACGAAACCCGCACUAGCCACUGCACGACGAUUCGUGGGAAGGCGCGGGGAGUAGGUCGAUCCGGAAGCCAGAAAACCUUACCGAACAAUCUUCGCAAU
rfam:Nitrospina sp. SCGC_AAA799_C22 AAA799C22_3, whole genome shotgun sequence.